GACGAACGCUGGCGGCGUGCCUAACACAUGCAAGUCGAACGGAACUGUUUUGAAAGUUUUCUUCGGAAUGAAUUUGAUUUAGUUUAGUGGCGGACGGGUGAGUAACGCGUGAGUAACCUGCCUUCAAGAGGGGAAUAACAUUCUGAAAAGAAUGCUAAUACCGCAUGACAUAUCGGAACCACAUGGUUUUGAUAUCAAAGAUUUUAUCGCUUGAAGAUGGACUCGCGUCCGAUUAGUUAGUUGGUGAGGUAACGGCGCACCAAGACCGCGAUCGGUAGCCGGACUGAGAGGUUGAACGGCCACAUUGGGACUGAGACACGGCCCAGACUCCUACGGGAGGCAGCAGUGGGGGAUAUUGCGCAAUGGGGGCAACACUGACGCAGCAACGCCGCGUGAAGGAUGAAGGUUUUCGGAUUGUAAACUUCUUUUAUUAAGGACGAAAAAUGACGGUACUUAAUGAAUAAGCUCCGGCUAACUACGUG
rnacentral:rRNA from 1 species